UCUGUGUGCAGAGUGGUGCAUCUUGGGGCAGUGUGCCUGAACCCCAUCAGGUUCAACCUCUCAACUUGUUAGUUUUUUUUUUUUUUUUAAUGAGUGAAUUUAUUUAUUUUUGGCCACACUGGAUCCUUGUUGCAGUGCAGAGGCUCUAGAGCACUCGGGGUUUCAGGAGCUGUGGGCUCACUGGUGGCAGCUUGAGGACUGCAGCUCCGGCUCAGCAGAUGGGACUCACAGGCUUAGUUGCCCCUAGGCAAGUGGGAUCUUCCCAGACCCACGUCCAGGAUCGUGUGGGAUGGAACCCACGUCCCCUGCAUUGGCAGUCGGAUUUUUAGCCACUGGAACACCAGGGCCACCGCUGGCAACUGGCAACGCAAUAAAUAUGCAAAGACGCAGUAGGUGCUCUGAUGAUCUCCACUUUAAAGACGAAGAAGCUGAGGCUCGGAGACAGGGCCUGUUUCCUCAGAUGGAAGCACAACACUUAAAAACUGAAAACUGAACAUCCAAGAAAUUGGGGCCAAGGGUCUCCAUGAAACCCAACAAGUAAGUUAUAUUUUCUUAAUACUGAAUUGCGGGUAACUCAGGCACAGGAAAGACAAUCUUUGGUCACUUCUUAACCAGCCAGGUUUCUUUGUUUUAGAACCAAGUGAAGACAUGGGAGAGGUAAAUAUUUUCCCAAUUUGGGAUAAUCAUAAAAGUAUAAGAGUAGGAAGACUAUGACGAUGUUAAAGAUCGUGCUAAAAACAAGAAAGCUUUAAUUCCUUUCAUCACUAGGACUUGUCAUUCUAUUGAGGAAGAAAAUGAGGGGGUUCUAAUAUUUGGCUGAUCAAAGGUAUCUCAUUACAACUUUUCUUCAUUUCAUUCUGUGGCAUGUCUCAUCUGCCUCCUCUAGCCCCUACUCCCUCCAUCUGUCAUCUUUCCUCUUUUGUACCUCCCCCCCCGUCCCCCGACUAUUUCCCUACCAAUUUGAUUAUCUAGAGCCUUUCUCAAGAUCCAAAUUGAACUUGUCACACUUCAAGAACACUAUUUGGCACUCCACCUCAAAAAAGGGCAUGGUUUUAUAAAUCACCAUGUUGUAGUGGAAAAAACAGAAGUAAAAGUUAUUCUCUUCUUCUAUGCUUAUCUUCAAUUAAUACAAGAAAAAAGACCAAAACCAAAACAAAACAAAAGAACCCCAAACCAAAAACAAAAACCUCCAACCGAUUUCUAUCUUGGUAGGUGAGGGUCAUAAGUACUGGGCCUGCAAUUUUCUAAUAUCAGCAGUUGCUUUUUGAGUAACCCAUUUCACUGAGUACAAAAUAAAUAUCGAAAUUGCAAGGAUCCCAGUGAUAAAUGUACUUAUUUUAGUCACCAAAAACCUGUACGUGGUAAGAAACCACCAGAACAGAUAAAAAAAGGAUGUGAUUGGCAUUUGGUGAAUAUUCUUUUAUCACUCAGCAAAUGGCUUGAGGUGACCAAACAAAAAUCAGAAAUAAUUUUUAAAUAGUUACCUACCUUUUCAGUUAAGCUUUCUGAUCCAAGAUUUGUUCACUUUUAAACAAAAUGCGAGUUCCUUCAACAUUAGAGGAUGAAACUUUUUCAUCUCUUCCCAAUCAUCAAAAUUUAAAGUUAGAUAUAACAUAGUAUCUAUCUCAAAAUAUUAAUUAAGGAGAGAAGAGAUAUACAAGGUUCAUACUCAUUUAAAAGGAACACUAAUUUAUCAGGCUUUCUCUCGCAAAGGGGAGCCAGGCACAGAAAGGAAAAGGCAAAAUGAGAAGGAAAAUAAAACCAUGAUGACUUUUCAACCUUUCUGCAGGGUGUAUAAAUUAUUUUUGGAGGACAGAAUGUCAAAAUCCAAAAAAAAAAUUUUUCCCCCCACCUUCUCUAGGAGAAUUGCAUCACCAGGCCACAGCCAACUGAGGCUGGAAUAUUUUAUUAGCAAUUCCACAACCCCUUGUACAAAUGACAUUAGUUCACCCAUGGCCCUCAUGUCUUUUGUAUCUUUCCACAUCAAAUGAUGGUUUCAUUUCAAGCCAUUUGCUUUGGAUGAGGAUGAUAAAGGGCAGCAAUUGAAAAACAACAGCAAAAAUCUGAAAUGAACACCACAGGCAAGGGGGCAGUUGCAAAGAAAAGAAUCACAAACCAAAGCAAUAACUUACGGUAGCUACUUUCGCUAUCGCUGGCAUUAGAAGAAACAUGUUCUGCAAGAACAGCACAGCAAAUUAAAGAGAUACCAAGCAUUGGAGAGCAGCCAGAACUUAAAGGAAUAUCAUGCAAGGCUACUAGAAAUGUGAGCGAAAGGCAAGUAAGGCCGCAGAGGAGACGCAUUAAGAGAAUUCAGAUAAGAUGAAGAUGAAAACUUUAUUUUCCAGGGAGCUACUGCUUGAUUGCGGUGUCUUAUUUUUUAUUAGCCAAUAGGAAAGUAUGUUUAAUUAUAAAAAGUGAAUGCUGUCCAUUUAAGCACUUUUCUUUUUAUAAACACUUUGACCCAUUCGUGUAGCUCUGAUUUUCCAGAUUCUUGUUACAAAGGUCAAUGUGUCUCAACUGGAUGUUCCUGACUAUAAUUUCAGGAACUUCUGGUGGGUAAGGACUGGUUUCUUACAGGCUUUUCGUUGCUUUAUUUUGCUGUUAGGCAUUUUGCAAGAAUAUCGCAUUUCAAAUUGCCAGUUGAUCCCUCCCUGGAAUCCCUUUCAUUUCAUUUCUAUUUAAAUAUUUCCUAAACUAAUUCACAAGAUGAAAGGGAUUGCUGAAGAACUUUCCUGCUUCAAUGAGUAUAUGGGACACCUCGGAGGAAGAAAUGAGUCACUGAAAAGUGUUUUAUGAAUCAGUUCAAUAUUUCCUUGUUUUUAAGAUUCUUGCUUGGAUAGUUCUUAGGUUCUGGAGGAAUUAGAACAGGCAGAAGAUGAAUGGUCUAAUACCAAGCACAGGUUCUGGCACAAAGCAUGUUUUUAACUCUGGUUGAAUGACAAGUAUACAGUGAUAUUUCAAAACUUUUUUUCCACAAAAACACAGUUUAACUAGCAUAACAGGGGGAUGUACUGAUUAUGUGCCAGAUUUAGGACUUUUAUUUCCAAAAUAAUUUAUCUGUACUAUUUAUUAAGUUAUAGAAGAUAAAUCCAUCAAUUUAUCAACUUCUUUGUAUAUCAGGCUAACUGAAUGAAGAAUAUGUAACUAUUUGAUCUGUGAAGAUCAUUAGCAAUAACUUUGGCUUUUUAAAAAGGGACAACUGUUGCAAAAUCUUUAGAAAAAAAGAAAAGCACAUAUAACAUUAUUCUCUAACAGUUUAAAAAGAAGUGCUUUGAAAUGUAUUUGCUAUUAUAGAUUCUCACCAGUCGGAUGGAUUAAUUUUCAUUUUUUAGCAUCAUUAAGGUAAAAUUGACAAAUAAAAUUUUCAUAUAUUUUAAAGUAUACUAUGUGAUGAUGUGAUACACGCAUGGAUUGUGAAAGGACUUCUACAAUUGAGUUAGUUAACGCAUCCUGGAUGGACUGAUUUUAGAGCGUGAAACUAAUGAAAAUUAAAGCAUGGGUUAAAUUUACUGAAAUCAUUUCUUUUUGUGUGGGUGUUUGAUGAGAACUGCAUUAUUAAUUUAGGUACACAUGUUACAAGUGCAAAGGGGCACUAGGAAAGUAAGUGUGAUGAAUCAGUGCAAAUCUGUCUUGUUACCGAAAAGUCAAAGCACAUACCCAACAAUGGCUUAUCUGCAUGAGUGUGACUACCUCAAGCACCUUCAUUUGAGGAUGACAGUUUUUUUUAAUUUGUUUUUGAUUAUCACUUUUAAAAUAAUUCAGAAUGAAGCUACAUUAGAAAAAUUUAGAAUCAUACAGCAGUUUAUUUAACAACCAGUCUCUCUUAAUGUUAAGAUAUUGUUUAACAGAAUUUUUCUAUUUUGCAGGUGAAAAGAAAUUAAAAAUAUGUUCCAGCUAAAGUCUAAAUUAUGGCUACCAGUACUGUUAACUGGCAUAUAACUUUACCUAGUGUAAUAUAUUCAAUUUUGGAGAGUAAGUAAACGUUCAGAUUUAAAAGGCCAUCACUCUGGAUUUAAAAAGGCAUCACAUACUUCCAACUCUCCAACAGCAAGAGAUGUUCAUUUAUUAACAAUAUAUUAAAAUGCUACCCAACCCCACUGAAAAUUUAGAAAUUCUCCCUGGUGGUACUUGGUGCUAAUUGGAUAAUGUUGAAAUCAACACUUGAAUUUCAGUCACCAAUUCAAGAAAAAUUUCAAGGCAUAUUCUGUAUAGAGACUCAAAGAUAAAGUUUUCAUCUUUAAGGAGAUCAGCAGUUAUUCUUGAUCAGAUUUUGUUUUCUAAAUAUACAUAUCUUAAAAAAAAUCCAAAUUAACAAUUUGAAGGAUGAAGGGUAUCAUUACGCAGGGUUAUAUAACCAGCUCUUGAAAACAAAGUCCAGCUCAAUGUUAUUUUGUUUCUUAGCAAUGAAAUGAACAGCUUCUAAAAAUAUUGCCCAUAGCUGUUAAAUCAAAACAAACAAAAAUGAACAUGUGAUGCAGCUGCGAAAGACACAAAAUGGUUCUUAUUUCAUUGGUGCCUACACAAUGGGGUUAGUGUCAAAGACAGAAAAAUCAUAGUAUAUUAAAACACAGAAUUAUUAUUUUUAUUAGUGCAAUGAGACAGAAUAAAGGCAUUAAUAACUAGAAAAAUUUUAGUUUAAUAUACUUUACUUUCCACUCUAAGCUAUAAAAUGAAGAUCUGGUUAUGCAAUGCAGUAAUAAAUCACUGAUAGAAAAACAUAUUAAUACGUAUCUAAAACUUUAUCAUACAAACGUUUCAAGCAGGAUCACUGCAAGUCAGAAAAAAAAAUCAGUCAAAGUUAAUAGCAAGGAAUUAUUCAUGGAAGAUCAAAUAGCUUAAUAUUUACUUUUUGAGAAUGCAUGUUCCUUUUGACUAUAAAGUAGCUCCUUUACUAAUAGCAAAGUAUAACCCAAUUAUGGAAAUUGGCAAGGUCAUUAAAUAUGUCUAUGUGAAAAGCCAGAAGAGAGAGCAUAAAAUAAUUUCUGCUUUCCUGUUCCAGAGCAUUGAACUCGCCCUUUCUUUCAACAUGGCUUCUUGCUCCCUGGGAGGUACUAGGAGACAGAGCAAGGAUGCCACGGCUGGCAUCAGGACCAUGUUGGUCACAUCACACGGCCAGAAAGGGAAGGUGUGAACUGCAGCGGAAGUUACAGUGCCUGAGACACUUUGUUUUUAAAUGCUGACAUGCAGAACAAAACAGUUGAAAAUUACUUGGUAGGAGCAUUCACAGCUAGGUAACAAAUAAAACUCGUAUCUUGUGCAUGCUAGGAGUGAAAAGGCCCUCGAGAAAAGGAACAAAAGCCAAACUCAAAAGGAAAGAAAAAGAAAAGAAAAGUUACAGUGACCAUUCCUGGGAACUUACUCAGAGUCUUUGUUCCAUAACCGUCGUCACCUAAUCCGGGGAUGUCCUGCAUGGAAGUCCCCAGAGAGAGCAAUGAGAGAGGGAGAACAGCCACGGAAGAGGAAGGAAGAAGUCAGUGGAGUUGAAAUGGAUACUACCAUGACAGACCGUGUUGCCUGAGCAAUCUGGAUCCCUCGCUCUCUUCUUAGGAAACAAAUUUCACCCCAAACUCCCUGGGCUGAGACUUGAGGAUUCAUAUUGCAACUUGAAAGGUUUAAGCAGAAGGUUGUCAUGAAAAAGAUAGAGUCAACAAGAGCCAUUUUUACCCACUGUCAAUACUGCCACAGCAACGUACCGCUGAGAGUGAUGAUCCACUCCAAGUUUCACGGCCAAUUCUUAGAUUGAGCAUAAGGUCAAUUAUCCCAAGAUAAGCUCACUGUGAGGGAAAGAGUGAACAAAUACUAGUAACCGAAAGAGGGGAAUUUGAUCACUCCCAGUUAGCUAGCACUCCAAAACAAUCCAUGUGGCAAUGGAAUCUAAGAUUUCUGUCCAGAAAAGAAUUUGUCUCAAGCCCUUGGAGAGCUGCAUGAUAGAAAAGGUGAACCAGACACAGUCUUGGUCAUUGGUAAAAAAGUGCUGUUUGGAAGCAAAGUCCCCUGCUUCCUCAGGUCCCUUUCCAAUGCAUUCUGCGAAAAAAAAAAAAAAAAAGAGCUCCAUCCAGGGAAGGAUCCAGACUGCAGCCAAACACUGGUCACAGUAGUAAGCCCUGACCUGCCUGCCUGCCAUGUUUGUUUGCCUAGGCGUGUGGCGUGGGGCAGCCUACAUCAUGCGUGUUGCCCGUGAAGGAUUUUUUUUUUUUCUCUUGUGUUGCAGGUGACAUUCUCUUCGAGAAUCUACUUACGUUCAG